UACGUAGGGCGCAAGCGUUAUCCGGAAUUAUUGGGCGUAAAGAGCUCGUAGGCGGUCUGUCGCGUCCGUUGUGAAAACUCGAGGCUCAACCUCGGGCUUGCAGUGGAUACGGGCAGACUAGAGUGCGGUAGGGGAGACUGGAAUUCCUGGUGUAGCGGUGGAAUGCGCAGAUAUCAGGAGGAACACCGAUGGCGAAGGCAGGUCUCUGGGCACUUACUGACGCUGAGGAGCGAAAGCGUGGGGAGCGAACAGG
rnacentral:rRNA from 1 species